rnacentral:rRNA from 1 species
GGGUUCGUCAACUAGUUGCGAAUGAAAGAGAGAAGACUUCAGCUUGNUAUCCAAGGGCCCUGCCUUUUGACAUGAAGAUUUGAUGGUGUGCCAAGGGGAGAUGGUGGAAAGUGCAUACUGUCUUGGAAGAGGGAUGUGCAAAUGGCAACGAGGGCAACAAACCUCUGACACUUAAUUUUUCUUACUGCACGGCACCCAGUUUAGAGUCAUGCUCUUUGAAAGUGGAGUGCAAAGUGGGUGGUAAAUCUCACUCAAAAGCAGAUACAACACUGGGGCCGACAGUGCACAAGUACCGUGAGGGAAGUGUGAAAAGGACUUUGGAAAGAAAAUUAUAGGAGCCUGAACUUGCUGAAAACCAAGCAUACAGGGGGGGAGAGUUUGGAGAGAUUUCCCUGCACGACCAAGCAUGGUGACCUCCUGUGCAAAGGUUUUGUGGUGCAUACUGGCAUGACGUGUGUGUGUCUCUCCUUGAAUGACCAAAGAUGCCUGCAGUCAAUAGCAACAUGUGGUACUGGCCACUUUGUCGUGUGGCUUUUGCGGGGUAUGGUGAGUGGUUGUGCCUCAGUGUGUUUGAAGUCAAGGCCUGCCCGGUCUGCACACAAACGUCAACCUCUGCGUGUGUGACCCGUCUUGAAACACGGACGCAAGGAGUCUAACAACCCUGCAGGUUGUGUGCUUGUGUGGGGUACAACUGUGUGACCAAUGAAAGUGGAGUCCCAGACCUGUGCAUGAGUGUUCCACCAAUCACGAGGUUGAGGUUUGAGUUUGAGCAUGGGUGCUA